AUUGAACGCUGGCGGCAGGCCUAACACAUGCAAGUCGCGCGAGCGGCGGACGGGUGAGUAAUGUCUGGGAAACUGCCUGAUGGAGUGGGGUAACUACUGGAAACGUUAGCUAAUAACGCAUACCAUAAGAUGUGCCCGGAGGGUAUUAGCUAGUAGGUGGGGUAACGGCUCACCUAGGCGACGAGCCCUAGCUGGUCUGAGAGGAUGACCAGCCCCACUGGAACUGAGACACGGUCCAGACUCCUACGGGAGGCAGCAGUGGGGAAUAUUGCACAAUGGGCGCAAGCCUGAUGCAGCCAUGCCGCGUGUGUGAAGAAGGCCUUCGGGUUGUAAAGCACUUUCAGCGGGGAGGCGUUACCCGCAGAAGAAGCACCGGCUAACUACGUGCCAGCAGCCGCGGUAAUUC
rnacentral:rRNA from 1 species